AUGGAGGCGGUUCUGGUGAGUGCGGCAACGGGAGCGCUCAGAUCCGUCCUGGAGAAGCUGGCCACUUUGCUGGCAGACAAAUACAAGUGUUACAAGGGUGUGCAUGGGGAGAUCCAGUUCCUCACUGACGAGCUCGCUGCCAUGCAUGCCUUUCUCCUCAAGAUGUCAGAGGAGGAGGAACCCGAUGAACAAGAUAAGGAGUGGGUGAAUGCAGUGCGGGAGCUCUCCUAUGACAUGGAGGAUUCUAUUGAUGACUUCAUGCAAGGUGUUGGCGACAACGAUAAUAAGCCAGAUGGUUUUUUGGAGAAGAUUAAGCACUCACUCCGCAAGUUGGGGAAGAUGAAGAGUCGUCAGCAGAUCGGCAAUGAGAUCCAAGAUCUCAAGAAGCAGAUCAUUGAGGUGGGCAAGAGGAAUCAAAGGUACAAGACUAGGCAUGCUGUCUUGGGUACCAUCAACUUCUCCAACACCAAAAAUGUGGUGGUUGACCCAAGAGCUCUUGCUAUCUUUGAGCAUGGCUCAAAACUCGUUGGAAUUGAUGAGCCCAAGGCCGAGAUAAUUAAAUUGUUGGCUGAAGGUGAAUCAAAGCAAGAGCAAACAAAGUCUCUCUCCAUCAUAGGACCAGGAGGAAUGGGAAAGACAACGCUUGCAAACCAAGUUUAUCGAGACCUCAAAGCAAAAUUCGAAUGUCGAGCCUUCUUAUCCAUUUCACGAAAUCUAGACAUCAUCAAUAUCCUAAGAACUAUUCUUAGUGAAGUUACUAGCAAAGGUUACCCUGACACUGAAGCAGGAAGUAUACAACAACUCAUCAACAAGAUCACCGACUUCCUAGCAGACAAAAGGUAUUUUGUUGUUGUUGAUGAUAUAUGGGAUGUGGUCACAUGGGAUAUUAUUAAGCUUGCAUUCCCCAUGACUAGUCUUGGCAGUAUCAUUAUCACCACUACUCGUAAAAACGAUGUUGCAGAAUCAUGUCGUUCAUCAUUUAGUGGUGCCAUUUAUGGUAUAAGACCACUUAAUAUGGUGCUUUCAAGACAACUAUUUCACAGAAGGCUAUUCAAAUCCAACGAAGACUGUCCUUCACAUCUUGAGAGGCUUGCUUAUCAAAUGUUGAGAAAGUGUGAUGGCUUACCUUUGGCAAUCAUUGCUAUAUCUGGUUUGUUGGCUAAUAGAGAAAGAACAGAGGAUACAUGGAAUGCAGUGGAAAAAUCAAUUGGCCGUGCGCUCGAAAGGAAUCCUACCAUUGAAGGAAUGAUAAAGAUAUUAUCACUUAGUUACUUUGAUCUUCCUCCUCAUCUCAAAACGUGUCUCUUGUAUUUGAGUAUAUUUCCAGAAGAUGCUAUUAUUCAGACAAAAAACCUGAUAUGGAGAUGGAUUGCAGAAGGGUUUGUUCACAAGGAUGGCAAACAUACGGCAUUUGAGUUAGGAGAGAGGUAUUUCAAUGAGCUCAUCAAUAGAAAUUUGAUCCAGGUUGCACACACAAACAGAUUUGGCAAGGUGAAGAGUUGUCGAGUUCAUGACACAAUUCUUGAUUUCAUCAUAUCCAAGUCCAUCGAAGAGAACUUUGUUAGUUUAGUUGGUGUUCCUAGUCUAACUGUCGGGACACAAAGGAAAGUCCGCCGACUCUCUCUCCAAGUUGAUGAUCAAGGAAAGUCUGUAAUACCAACAUGUCUAGUGUUGUCUCAUGUUCGGUCACUCAAUGUGUUUGUUCAAUCAUUUGAAAUCCCUUCUCUUGAUGAGUUCAGGCGUUUACGUGUUUUGGACUUUGGAGGUUGCAUGAAAUUGGAAAACCAUCAUCUUUCAAAUAUAGGGAGGUUGUUUCAGCUAAGGUGCCUGAUACUGAGAAACAGAGAGAUAACAGAGCUUCCAGAAGUAAUUGGUCAUUUAUGUUGCUUAGAAGUAUUGGACAUAAGACGCACCAAUGUCAAGGAAUUACCAGCAACUGUUGUCAAUCUUGGAAAAUUGGUGUGUCUCCUCAUGCCGGAUUGUGUCAAAAUUCCUGAUGGAAUUGCAAAGAUGCAAGCACUAGAGGUGUUCAAUUGGGUUACAGUCUUCAAGCAGACAUCCAACUUGCUGCAUGAACUUGGGCAGCUAAAGAAUCUGAGGGAGCUGGUCAUCAGUCUUUGUAUUUAUUCUUCCCAUGAUGAUGAUACUAUAAGAACUUUGGAGGUUAUAAAAGUUAUAGCCUCUGCAGUUCAAACCCUAUCCAGACAGAACCUCCGUUCUCUAACUAUUAAUGAUGGGAGGAACUUCAUGCAGGAAUUUUUGUGCUCUUCUACUCCGCUUAGCCUCCAAUCACUUAAGAUCAAUGUUUCAGUUGGUUCACGGGUCCCGAAUUGGGUGGGCUCCCUCGUCAACCUUCAGCGGUUAUGUCUUCAAUUGAAUGAAGUCGGGCAUGAUGAUAUCUGCAUCCUUGGAGCCUUACCCGCUCUGGUUGAUCUUAUUCUGAAAAGAGGACCAGAUGGACUCCAUAGAAUUAGUUACUAUGGGCUCAGGUUCAACCACAGUAAGCUCAGAAUCAGUGGUGACGUCGGGUUCCGAUGCUUGAGGCAGUUUUAUUUUGAUGCAUACUAUUACCCGUUGCAUCUCAUGUUUGAAGUAGGAUCCAUGCCCAGGCUAGACAAACUUACCAUGGCCUUCCGCUUAGAUAGAGAUAUUGAGGAUGGUGUUUUUAAUUUUGGAAUUGAAAAUCUUCCCAAUCUCUUAAUUCUCACAUGUAUAAUAGCAUCAGGCCACAUGUAUAAGGCUGCAAAGGCUGCUGCAGAGAGAACAGCGAAGACACAUCCCAACAAACCAACUCUAUUCUGUUAUUCUUCUUAA
rnacentral:rRNA from 1 species